GCAAAUUAUAUAGUUCAUAAACAAGGUAUCAAUAUCGCGAAGCAUUACAUGUGUUAAAGAGUGUGGUCCAAGUACUAUAAGAAACUCAGCUGUAGAUUCUCCAAAUGCCAGUUCUAUAACCUAAAGACAUGAUUGCCAUCUCCCACAACAUGUUUGGGAUGCUUAACAGAUUGACUUUUGAUCCUGGUAUUUCUGUCCAAUUAACGGAUAUCUCAUUCAUAGAAACUCGAAACCAUUUGCAUAGGUAGACUAGUUCGACAUCAAAACACCACCUUUUCAAGCGGAUAUUUAGAAAAAGUUUCCUGGCAGCAGAUCUGGUGAACAUCUUGAAUCCACACUGAGUAUCACGAAUUCCACUACCAGCAGCCAAGAGAACCACAAUAUGGAAACCUUUCAUCAGGAAAUUGCGAUACCAUUUUCUUGUAGCUAGAGCCUUCUCCUCAAGGUGAGCACGUGAACCAAAUACAGCUGCCGGUACAUCUGAUAUUCUUAUAGUUGAAUCUCUACCAGCAGAAUCUUCAGAUUGUUGUCCCUUUUUAGCAACUGGUUUUCAAGCAU
rnacentral:misc_RNA from 1 species